AUGAGUCUAAGAACAAAAAAUUAAAAAAUGAAGUUUUCUAAGAGAUAAGAAUUUGGGCAUUUCCUGUAGAGUCAUAUUUGUAUCCAUUUGUAGAGUUAGGGGUGAUUGCUAACUUUUCAUUCUGUGAUCUAACUAAUUGAUUGUUGCAGAUUAGAAACUUCUUGCUCUAACAGAUUUGGCUUGCUUUUUUUUUUUUCUUGCUGUUGGAUUCACAGUAAUCGCUGGGGCCUUCUGCUAUGAUAUAGUUUUGGAUAAGAGGCUGGAUGAAUGGAUGCCAACAAAAACGAGAACCUUACAGUAUAGCUCUGGCUGCCGUGGAAAUAACUUACAAGAAAAUCAUAUAGGCUUCCUCCUGAAUAUUAACCUUCAUCAGGCGAUGAAAGGAGACAGAGACAGAGACCCACAUUGGAGCACCGGACUGAAAUCUCAAGGUUCAAAUCAGAAGCAGAAGGAGAGAGAGCACAAGCAAGGAACUCAG